CUUAUGGAUCAAAAGUGCCACUUCCAUCGUUGCUUCAGUGCCCAGCAGCUCAGGGAUGAACUUUGCCAAAAACUCUGUUGGAUGUCCAUUCUUGAUUUUCUCAGGCAAGCCAAUGAUUUUAAUAUUCUGCCACCAGGAGCGAGCCUCCAGGUCGGUUGCUUUCAGACAAAGUGUUUCAUUCUCCGACUGCAUUUUCGUACAUUUUUGCCCAAGCUAGCAUUUUCCACCUCCUGUAUUCAUUUAUCGAGACUCGCCAGCGUUGCUUGGGUGGAUGCCAAAGAUGCCUCCAAGCCAUUAAAACGUGCUUGAGGGGGCGUGCCUGCACCUGAAUACCUGGCUGACAUCAUUACCUCAUCACCUCACCUGCUCCUCUUCAACUGCUGGCAGUAUUUAAGGAGCAGCCACACAUCCAGUCUCCGCUGGAUCGUUGUCAAGUAUUGUGGAUCAGCCUACGUCUCGUGUAGCCGCCGUGUGGAUCUCCACCCUUCAGACCUGCCAGCCGACCCCUCUCUGAUUGCCCCCACCUCUGGACUCCCACACUCGCCUACCUGCUCUCUUUUCAUUUCACGCAUUCACGCUCUGAUUUAAUAAACUAUUGAAUUCUAACCCACUUGUUCCGGUCUGCUUCUG